rnacentral:misc_RNA from 1 species
CACGAUAUACAGGCCACGGCGGCAGCUUUCCCAACAGAUAGCUGCCCGUCGGAACCCUACCCUUGCUUUUUGCGUACCCAUUGUUUCCUCGGCAGGCUUGCCUGCCAGUAGGACCCUUUUAAACUCUUUGUAGUUGCAGUCAGCGUCAGAAAUAACGUAAUCGUUA